rnacentral:rRNA from 1 species
AGAGCGAACGCUGGCGGCAUGCUUAACACAUGCAAGUCGCACGGUCAGCAAUGGCAGUGGCGGACGGGUGAGUAACGCGUAGGUAUCUAUCCACGGGUGGGGGACAACGUCGGGAAACUGACGCUAAUACCGCAUGAUACCCGAGGGUCAAAGGCGCAAGUCGCCUGUGGAGGAGCCUGCGUACGAUUAGCUUGUUGGUGGGGUAAAGGCCUACCAAGGCGACGAUCGUUAGCUGGUCUGAGAGGAUGAUCAGCCACAUUGGGACUGAGACACGGCCCAAACUCCUACGGGAGGCAGCAGUGGGGAAUAUUGGACAAUGGGCGAAAGCCUGAUCCAGCAAUGCCGCGUGUGUGAAGAAGGUCUUCGGAUUGUAAAGCACUUUCGGCGGGGACGAUGAUGACGGUACCCGCAGAAGAAGCCCCGGCUAACUUCGCGCCAGCAGCCGC